rnacentral:rRNA from 1 species
UCGGGAAUUUCGGGCAAUGGGGGAAACCCUGACCCAGCAACGCCGCGUGAAGGAUGAAGUAUUUCGGUAUGUAAACUUCGAAAGAAUGGGAAGAAUCAAUGACGGUACCAUUUAUAAGGUCCGGCUAACUACGUGCCAGCAGCCGCGGUAAUACGUAGGGACCAAGCGUUGUUCGGAUUUACUGGGCGUAAAGGGCGCGUAGGCGGCGUGACAAGUCACUUGUGAAAUCUCUGGGCUUAACCCAGAACUGCCAAGUGAAACUGUUGUGCUAGAGUGCGGAAGGGGCAAUCGGAAUUCUCGGUGUAGCGGUGAAAUGCGUAGAUAUCGAGAGGAACACCUGAGGUGAAGACGGGUUGCUGGGCCGACACUGACGCUGAGGGCGCGAAAGCCAGGGGAGCAAACGG